CCAACAAGGUAACAGCAGGAAGAACACAAGACGACCUCUCCUCUAAGUGGCGAAGAGGAACAGACUCUUAACAUGAGAAAAAUUAAGCUGAACUUGAUGAAGUCAGUAGACUCCUGUGAGAAGAUGUCUGUCCAACCUAAAGAAUGGCAACAUGACAACAUGAGAGAAAGGAACAAAAUGGGGCCUGGCUGUUGUUGCCUCUGCACUGCUUCGGAAAGCUUCGAAAUCCAACAGGUUAUCUGAAUGCCCUACCAUCAGGUUCACGUACAGAGUGAGUAACUGGAUGGAGGGCAAUGCAUGGGAAGUUGGGAAGUGGGGUUGGGGUAAGGGACUUCUUCAUUCUGGCAAAUUGAAACCAAUAAGAUGACCUACCUGGUCUAUAUUUGUUUCUUGCUUUGAUUUCAACUGUGAAUUUUCUACGUUUUGGCAAAAGUAAAAUACAGAAGAGCUUACCUCCCUGUUGGUGCUAAAAACAGCAGUGAAACAAGCAACAGUAGUUAAGGACAGGCUUUUGGGACAUACAAGCAAUGUUGGAAUUCCAGCUCUGUCAACUGCUGUCACCUUAGUCCACCUACCUAAGUACUUUAAAAUGACUUUUCCUGAUUUUUUUUAAAAAGUGGGUUGAUAAUAUUGAGGAAUAAUAUGAAUAAGAAUGCUGUGUAUGGUGCCCAGCUCAUAGUAAAUCCCAUAGGUAAAAGAGAGUUGGUAUUAUUUAAAUGAUCUUAGAGAAAGUGCUGGAAAGAAGCACAGUGAGUAAAAGUAGGGGAAAAAGAGAGAGACUAGGAAAAACAGGUGCAAAAAAAAAGCAACUAAUGGUACAUAGCCCUCACAUACUUAAAUUUUUAAUCUGCCAACAAGUAAGCCAUGCAUAGAAUUGCACUUAUUAUAAGAAAGCUAACAUGAAGUGUUCACUUACUUGAACAUAGGAAGUGUGAUACAAAAAUAUGUAAACUUUUUUGAAUAUACACAUCUAUAUAAUUGUUAUUCUUCAAAUUAAUCUCCUUGGGAAAAUAUACACUUUUAUCAAUAGCACACAAAAUAGUUUUGGAAUUCUGUAUUAUUAGACCUGCCUUCAGGUACACUUUAUAAGGAAAAAAGAACACACACACACAUGCAUAUCUAUGCAUGUUAUGUUUGCAUGUGACCUCAGGCAUAAAAGAAUAUACUCUCUGGGUUGCUGCGGACGAGUGGCUAGAGACAGGGAGUGGUAUGAAUCAUGAGGGGUUGUGGAGAAUAUGUAAUAUUUAUGUUAGAAAAUCAUGUCAAGAAACAGAAUAGAACAGAUAUUACUCAAAUAAAGAGUCAAAUUCUCUUCCAAAAAAUCAUGAAAGUUCCCCAUUUGCUCUGAUGCAACAUUUGAGCAUAAUUAUAUUCAUGUCUUGCUUGUCAGAAUAUAAUGUCUACCUGUUUUAAUAAGGGCAACACAGGACAUCUGCUAGACCUCCUCUUUACUAGUCUUGUCUUAGAUAUAUUUUUAUUAUGAUAAAAUAGCACUCAUGUCAAAAUGCCUAAGUAUCAUAGUAAUAAAUAUAUAAUAAAUACUUAUAUCUAGACUGUACCUUGACACAUGUAAGAUAUCAUCUCAUGAUUUAUGUGGUUUUUUUAAAAAGUGCUGGCUGAUAUCCAGCCACAGGAAUGCAUAAGAUAUUUAUCACACAGCAUAUUAGAAAGAAGGAAGAAAAGAAAGAAACAGAGAGAGUGAAAAAAAGAAAAAGAGAGACAAAAAUAGAAAAAGAAAAAAAACAAAUAGAAACAGGACAAGAUGACAUAGUGUGAUGGUGAAUGUUAUGCAUCUACUUAGCUAAGCUAUGAUUCUCAGUGGUUUGACAGACACUGAACUGAUUACUCUUUCAUAAUGUAAUAUAAUGUAAUCAUGUCCACGAUGAGAUCUGAUAUAAUGUAAUCA